CUGAAACCGUGUGCUUACAAGUAGUCAGAGCCCGUUAAUGGGUGAUGGCGUGCCUUUUGUAGAAUGAACCGGCGAGUUACGAUUUGAUGCAAGGUUAAGCAGUAAAUGUGGAGCCGUAGCGAAAGCGAGUCUGAAUAGGGCGUUUAGUAUUUGGUCGUAGACCCGAAACCAGGUGAUCUACCCUUGGUCAGGUUGAAGUUCAGGUAACACUGAAUGGAGGACCGAACCGACUUACGUUGAAAAGUGAGCGGAUGAACUGAGGGUAGCGGAGAAAUUCCAAUCGAACCUGGAGAUAGCUGGUUCUCUCCGAAAUAGCUUUAGGGCUAGCCUCAAGUGAUGAUUAUUGGAGGUAGAGCACUGUUUGGACGAGGGGCCCCUCUCGGGUUACCGAAUUCAGACAAACUCCGAAUGCCAAUUAAUUUAACUUGGGAGUCAGAACAUGGGUGAUAAGGUCCGUGUUCGAAAGGGAAACAGCCCAGACCACCAGCUAAGGUCCCAAAAUAUAUGUUAAGUGGAAAAGGAUGUGGCGUUGCCCAGACAACUAGGAUGUUGGCUUAGAAGCAGCCAUCAUUUAAAGAGUGCGUAAUAGCUCACUAGUCGAGUGACACUGCGCCGAAAAUGUACCGGGGCUAAACAUAUUACCGAAGCUGUGGAUUGUCCUUUGGACAAUGGUAGGAGAGCGUUCUAAGGGCGUUGAAGCAUGAUCGUAAGGACAUGUGGAGCGCUUAGAAGUGAGAAUGCCGGUGUGAGUAGCGAA
rnacentral:rRNA from 1 species